AUGUAUAUGUGUAGCUUGAUACUUGGUAAAUCUUGGAUAAAAAAGAGGGAGCUACAGAUGGAUAAAUCUGGCUAUUUUUCUUGGAGGAAAUUUCAGAUUUUUCGUAAUGGUCGAUGGAUUUAUUUUAAAGCAUACUCUUCGGAACAAUAUUUGGAAGAUCGUAAGAGAAGAGACCCAGCAUAUGCUGCAAUUCAUGCAAAGAAAGAAGUAGAGCAGAUCUUGCUAGAAAAGAAAAAGGCGGAGGAUAAUCUUGUUGGAACUAAAAAUAUUUCUUCACAUGAGAAGAACAAAGAGAAACCAGCAGUACCAACGAGUGGGCUGAAUAUGCAACUUAAGAGGGUACAUGAUGGAGAUGAAUUGGCAGUAGACAGAGGUCAGCGCAUGAGUUUAUUUCAAACUCAGUGUGACAUUAAGGGUGUGGCGUGCAAGUUAAUUAUUGAUGGAGGUAGUUGCACUAAUGGCAUUAACAACACGUUGGUGGAGAAGCUUGGUUUGUCCGCAUGGCGAUAUGAUAAACCAUAUCAUUUAGAGUGGUUGAACAAUUGUGGGAAGCUCAAAGUUACACAUAAAGUACGUGUACCAUUUUCAGUUGGACAGUAUGUCGAUGAGGUGGAAUGUGAUGUUUUGCCGUUGGAAGUUUGCGGUUUUCUACUAGGCCGACCUUGGCAGUAUGACCGUAGUGUGCAGCAUGCUGGAAGGACCAACACAUACACUUUUAUUCAUAAUGGCGCACAAAGGACACUUAAAUCGAUGAAUGAAAAAUUAAUCCUCUCAGAUGUGGUAUUGACAAUGCGCAAGGAGAGGGCUCCCAAGAAAAACAUGAAACCGAAGACGGUUUCUCUUCAAGUGGAGGGGUGUGAUAUUCUUUUAGUAAAGAAAAAGGCCCCUAAAGCUAUCAUGAAGCCGAGGACGGCUUUGUUUCAAGAGGGAGAGGAUGAUGUGGCCAUUAGUGGCAAAGCUAUUGUUUCACGUACAGAAAUAUUUCAAGCUAUUUCAUAUGCUACACAAAAGGAAAGAGACUUGGACCAUCGUGCUUCAAUGGGAUAA
rnacentral:rRNA from 1 species